rnacentral:lncRNA from 1 species
CAAAACAAACCGCCAAAGUUACUUUGGAUCCUUUUCAAGACAGAUAAACAAGAACUGGGGCAGUAAAUCAAACAGUUAAGCUGCAUUUCAGAUCUACAGUGGAAAAAAGGUACUCUCCUCUGCUAAAGGCAGAUCUACAAUUUUAAGUCGUUCUCUGUAGAAUAUUACUUUAUUCACUUCUGGUUUAUGCCAACAUAUGCGGAUUUAGUGUGUAUGUGUGUGUAAUUGUUCAAAACUAUAGAGUUUAACCAGAAUUUUUAGAAACAGCAAAGAAGCCAAUUAUAUAAUAGUUGCUUUUUGUUCCCUUGUAAGAUUUGAAAGCCAAAGCAAAACACUAACUUUUCCUCUUUUUUGUUUUGUUUUCUGAGCAGUGGAGUUUUGAAGCUAAGGAAAAAUGGCAGGAAAAGGAGGGAAAGGGCUAGUAGCGGGGAAGACAACAGCUGCAGCGGCUGCUAACAAAGACAAAGACAAGAAAAAGCAGCCUAUCUCUCGUUCUUCUCGUGCUGGCCUCCAGGUAAAUACAUAGUUUUACUUAGUUAAGAGCAGAUCUUGUCUGAUUUUUAUAGGAUUUGAAAUUGCUGUUGGAAGUAUUUGUAUAUUGAGGUUAAUGAACAGCUGUAAAGUUAAAAAAAAAUAAAAUAAAAAUUCUGAAGUCUUGCAUGGUUCUAUGGAGGUUUUUACUUUUUAGAAUUGCUUUCAAAUUCAUAGUUUGGCUGCUUGUUCUAUUCCAUUGUGUAUGCAACAUUUAUAUAUAGUCUCCUAAAAUAGUGGUGG